AGAAUGAACGCUGGCGGCAUGCCUAACACAUGCAAGUCGAACGAGACCUUCGGGUCUAGUGGCGCACGGGUGCGUAACGCGUGGGAAUCUACCCCUUGGUUCGGAAUAACAGUUGGAAACGACUGCUAAUACCGGAUGAUGACGUAAGUCCAAAGAUUUAUCGCCGAGGGAUGAGCCCGCGUAGGAUUAGGUAGUUGGUGUGGUAAAGGCGCACCAAGCCGACGAUCCUUAGCUGGUCUGAGAGGAUGAUCAGCCACGCUGGGACUGAGACACGGCCCAGACUCCUACGGGAGGCAGCAGUGGGGAAUAUUGGACAAAUGGGCGAAAGCCUGAUCCAGCAAUGCCGCGUGAGUGAUGAAGGCCUUAGGGUUGUAAAGCUCUUUUACCCGGGAUGAUAAUGACAGUACCGGGAGAAUAAGACUCCGGCUAACUCCGCGCCACGCAGCCGC
rnacentral:rRNA from 1 species